rnacentral:hammerhead_ribozyme from 1 species
AUACAGCUGAAGAGUCCAAAAUAAGACGAAACGCGUGUCCUGGAU